rnacentral:ncRNA from 14 species
CCUUUGCCCUACCGCAAGGGUUUCCCGACAACGCUGUCGGGGAUUAAAAGGGAAUCGGGUGAAAGUCCUGAACAGUCCCAGCUGCUGUAAUCCCAUUUUUAUGUCGACUGAAUUUUGCCACUGCCUUAUUUCCGAUAAUUCGGAAUUGGUCGGGAAGGCUCAGAUCGACAGGGAAAGUCAGAAGACCUGCCAUUGCAAUCGUUCACUAA